GAAAAGUAACGGUGUCGAUGAC
rnacentral:piRNA from 1 species